AUCCAGCUGACGAAUCCCAAAUAGAAUGAAAUGCAUGUCCUGGAU
rfam:Schistosoma margrebowiei strain Zambia genome assembly, scaffold: SMRZ_contig0000349